GAAUGGUCCGUUGGAAGUUUGCUGGUCUUGCUCAUCAAUGGUACCCUUGGAUACCAGAAAAAGAAGCUCCAUUUUCUUGAUUUCUUUUUUUUAUUUAUUUGGAGGGGUUGUUGAUGGCUCAUUAUGUUAUUAUAUUAUUUUGGAGUUGCUACCAUUACCGUGUACCACUACCAUGUUUUACUUUCUUACACGGGAUCUUCAUAAAC
rnacentral:misc_RNA from 1 species